rnacentral:rRNA from 1 species
UUAGUACGGCGAGUGAGCGGCAAAAGCUCAAAUUUGAAAUCUGGUACCUUCGGUGCCCGAGUUGUAAUUUGGAGAGGGCAACUUUGGGGCCGUUCCUUGUCUAUGUUCCUUGGAACAGGACGUCAUAGAGGGUGAGAAUCCCGUGUGGCGAGGAGUGCGGUUCUUUGUAAAGUGCCUUCGAAGAGUCGAGUUGUUUGGGAAUGCAGCUCUAAGUGGGUGGUAAAUUCCAUCUAAAGCUAAAUAUUGGCGAGAGACCGAUAGCGAACAAGUACAGUGAUGGAAAGAUGAAAAGAACUUUGAAAAGAGAGUGAAAAAGUACGUGAAAUUGUUGAAAGGGAAGGGCAUUUGAUCAGACAUGGUGUUUUGUGCCCUCUGCUCCUUGUGGGUAGGGGAAUCUCGCAUUUCACUGGGCCAGCAUCAGUUUUGGUGGCAGGAUAAAUCCAUAGGAAUGUAGCUUGCCUCGGUAAGUAUUAUAGCCUGUGGGAAUACUGCCAGCUGGGACUGAGGACUGCGACGUAAGUCAAGGAUGCUGGCAUAAUGGUUAUAUGCCGCCCGUCUUGA